rnacentral:misc_RNA from 1 species
UGUACGGCGACAUUUCCACGAUGACAUCACAGUGAUUGUUGUGUUUCUUGACUCAAACCUUGUGAGCCGGGCUAGCUCUACAAAAUGUGCAAGCCUAUCCGUGCGAGGGGGUGGAGUUAACUUACGUCCGAACUCAUUGGCCCCUUGCACCACACCAUCAGACACUGGCAUGGCCUGAUUAGGCUAUAUCAUCUCUUGCUUGUCUGUUGUAUUGUUCUCAUAUGUGAAUACCAG